rnacentral:lncRNA from 1 species
CCGGCAAGGGCGUCACCAACACCUGCGAAGUCUGCAAUCGGAGCCUCCUCGACUCCUUCCGCUUCUGCUCCCUCGGCUGCAAGGUCUGCACUCUCAGUCUCUCUCCAAAACCCAGUCUUUCCACCGAACCUUCAUGUCCUCUCUCUUUCUGUAACCAAUUGUUCGAUGAAAUGCCCGUUUCAGAUCACCGGUACUUCCUCCGACUGCCGCAAGAAGAAAAAGACGAAGAACAAGAAGAAGUCAACGGCCGAAUCAGACUCGGAGGAGUCUUACUUGAGAAGCAGCAACCCCGGCAACGAGAGGAGAAACGUGACACACAGCUUCACACCAUCGACGCCGCCGCCGACCGCCACGAGCUUCCGCACCGCUAAGAGAAGGAAAGGCGUCCCCCACAGAGCCCCCUUCGGAACCCUCCUACUG